rnacentral:rRNA from 1 species
AAUCUUGGACAAUGGGGGAAACCCUGAUCCAGCCAUGCCGCGUGAGCGAUGACGGCCUUAGGGUUGUAAAGCUCUUUCAACGGUGACGAUAAUGACGGUAGCCGUAGAAGAAGUCCCGGCUAACUCCGUGCCAGCAGCCGCGGUAAUACGGAGGGGACUAGCGUUGUUCGGAAUUACUGGGCGUAAAGCGCGCGUAGGCGGAUCGUUAAGUCGGGGGUGAAAUCCCGGGGCUCAACCCCGGAACUGCCUUCGAUACUGGCGAUCUAGAGGUCAAGAGAGGCGAGCGGAAUUCCGAGUGUAGAGGUGAAAUUCGUAGAUAUUCGGAGGAACACCAGUGGCGAAGGCGGCUCGCUGGCUUGAUACUGACGCUGAGGUGCGAAAGUGUGGGGAGCAAACAGGAUUAGAUACCCUGGUAGUCCACACCGUA